rnacentral:sRNA from 1 species
CGAGUCUGUGUCCUCCCUGUCCCUCCGAGCAGAGAGCCUCCCCGUAUCUGGACCGGGGAGGAGCAGACGCUGGACAGGUUUCUGGGAGAAUGCUGGCAAUUCCCAGGAAGAUACGUGGAGAACGGAAAGGUUGCUACACCCAAAUAGUGGAGCAAAGCUAUGAUUAUGGAGGAUUGGACCUGCAAACUCCAGAACAGAGCAACCUUGUAAAAUGUGUGUGGGCAGCACAGAGACCUUGGGCAAGUUAACAGUUUCCUCAUCUAAAUAGUGAUUUAUGGAAAGCACCUGGUGCGUGUUCUGCCCUCUGAGGACCCUGCCCUUUCCCAAAAGGGAUAUCUUGAGAAGGAAAGUAUGGCUGCUCUUUGCUGGACAGCAGAGUCCCAGGCUGAACUCCAGUGCACCCAGUUAGACUUGGAGCGGAAACUCAAGUUGAAUGAAAAUGCCAUCUCCAGGCUCCAGGCCAACCAAAAGUCUGUUCUGAUGUCGGUGUCAGAGGUCAAAGCAGUGGCUGAAAUGCAGUUUGGGGAACUCCUUGCUGCUGUGAGGAAGGCCCAGGCCAAUGUGAUGCUGUUCUUAGAGGAGAAGGAGCAAGCUGCGCUGAGCCAGGCCAACGGUAUCAAGGCCCACCUGGAGUACAGGAGUGCCGAGAUGGAGAAAAGCAAGCAGGAGCUGGAGAGGAUGGCGGCCAUCAGCAACACUGUCCAGUUCCUGGAGGAGUACUGCAAGUUUAAGAACACUGAAGACAUCACCUUCCCUA